GCAAUUUCCGGGCGGGCGGAGUGCGUGAGGACGCUCCGGAAGAGGCUAAAUGUUCUGGUUUUAAAAGCGACACAGUUUGAGAAGAGAUGAACUAGUGUUGGUUGCCUGCCUUUAAUAACCACCAGAAGAAGAAGAAAUAAACGAAAAGCACGAACUAACGGUGUCUGCGUAGUUUAGCAAAAAUACCGCAGCGAACAGAGCUUUGGCGAAAUAGUUCUCGACAAUCUGCAGGCGUCGUUACUUUCCCUUCCUGCGCUGGCUCCUGUGUUCGGACACGUGGGCUGCCAGCUCUCCCAAUGCUGCCCAGUGGGAAUGGCUGACUGAGUGUCCGUGGAGCCUUCAUCCCCACUGUGUGCCUCACUAGGCCCAUAUGUCUGAUCCUUGAAUAAAGUCAGUUACCUGGA